rnacentral:rRNA from 1 species
UACGUAGGGUGCAAGCGUUAAUCGGAAUUACUGGGCGUAAAGCGUGCGCAGGCGGUUAUAUAAGACAGUUGUGAAAUCCCCGGGCUCAACCCUGGGAACUGCAUCUGUGACUGUAUAGCUAGAGUACGGUAGAGGGGGAUGGAAUUCCGCGUGUAGCAGUGAAAUGCGUAGAUAUGCGGAGGAACACCGAUGGCGAAGGCAAUCCCCUGGACCUGUACUGACGCUCAUGCACGAAAGACGUGGGGAGCA